ensembl:lncRNA
ACUGCAGUGAAUGGAAGGGCCUCUCACAGUCAAACUCCAUGGCGCCAAAAUUAAAACCAGCGUUAAGGAUGAAACCGGCAAUAAGGAAAGCAUCACCAGAUUUCUUUACAUUACUUAUUGCAGGACAGAAUUAUUUGAGCAGUAAUGCUUCCAGGACCUUUUGAUUCACCGGACAGAGACCAAUCCAAAACGCAUAAUGCCAGGGAAAAUAUAGAGUUAUACUCUGAAGGAUUUGGAAAAGACUAUUUAGCAAUCACAGCAGCACUUUGGCACUUGUGCGAGAGCGUUGCACGCCUGUGCGAGCACAACCUCGCGUCUCUUCCGUUGGACUUGACUUUGUCUGUAUUUGCAUCCAGCUGUCUUCCUGCACGAUAACCAGAACACCGGAAAUUUGCUGAGGAUGACACACACAAUCAAUGAGGAGAUUUUAGUCAUUGCAUCAAAUUAGCAAAUUCUCAAUCCUGACUAAGAUACAGCUAGAAAACGAGCUGCCAGCAACACCCUCUGAAGCAGAUGGUUCCCACCACUUGGAAUGCUCCUUUCUGUGCACUUCAGCAGCUCCUGAAAUAACAGAGUGCUGCAGAACGGAGAAGGAAGAUGACUGGAAAGUGAGACUCUUUCUUGUGGUUUGGUCAGUCCUCCUCUGCCCUCUUGAGAAAAUUCACUGGCAAGUCAUUACUAAUGACACACCUAUAUCUUGCCGAGUGCUGCUUUACAGGCACCUACUGGGCAUUUUUCACCUUGUUUAUCUGAAGGUCAAAAAAAAGAAGCAUGCCAUAAAGCACAGACUACCUGCAGAUUGUGGAAUAAUUGGAGUGCUAGAUGGAAAAGAAUAUAUUGAACAAAUUGUCCAAUAAAAUAAAUUACUUCUAUAAUGCAUCUCAAAACAUGUUAGAAAGUUAGGAAUUAUGAGCUAUAUCACACUGUGAAUUGGGUGUGUAUUUUUAAUAGUUCAGAUAAUUAACACAGGGCACUAUUCGCCAUGAGUUGUGGAAGGCUAUUGGUCACAUGAUGUUUAAAAAAUUAAGAUCUCGUAGCAUUCUAAAAUCAGGCUUUCUUUAAGUCAGGAACUAUUUAGAUUGGUGCAGGAGUAGUGAAAUGAAAUGCUAGAGAUUUUGCUCUGCAGGAUGUCAAAUUAGAUUAUCCAACCUUUAAAGCUAUAAAUACAUGAAUUAUUACACUUUUUUUACAAAUGAGAAAACUGAGGCAUAGACAAUAUCAAAGGGCUUUAUAAAUGUGAAUGACUCAAUAACAUUCUGCUAUUGUUUAUUAUCCAUAUUCCUGUUUUUAAAUGACAGAAUGGAGGCACAUAGAAAUGAAAUGACUAUCUAAAGUCACACCAGUCUCCUUCUUUAACCUGGUAAAUGGGUAAGUAGGCAUGCCAUUUUGACAUACUAAUAUAUGUGUUAAGGUAUUAAUUUCCCAUACUUCUUGAAUAUAUGGAUCAUUGGGGAGCAGUUUCUGUUGAAAACAGCAACAGUCAUGUUUUUCUCACUUCAAACUUCUUUUCCUAUUGUGAGUCUUCUAUUUAGCUGGAAGAAGUUCUUAGUUUUGUCUUAGCUUGGCAAGAAGAAAGUAUAAGAAAAUGGAGUAAUUUAGAUGACAGAAAACAGGGAUUUAAGCUGGAAUGCACAGCAAUCAGAGCUCGGGGAGUGGGAUGCCAUUCAGACACACACUGGACUACAGAAUAUCAGUGGCAAAUUCCUCCCAAUCCAUUCAGGGUGGACUAUUUCGGGUGAAAAAUUAAUCAACAGUGUUUCAAGGUAUUUAGGAGGGCAAAGAAGCAAUGUCUUUCCUUUAUGGCUACACUGCAGUGAUCAGUGCCUCUGCAGGUGUGUAAUUUAAAGAGGUGCUAGGAAAAAGAUGAACAUAAACAGAAAGGAUACAGGGUGUACGCGAAGGUUACUGUAGAGGUUGCAGCUGAAUGACUGCAGGGCUACAUAACCCAGCCUCAGAUAAUACUCAAGUUUAUUUGCCUUGAUCUGAACUCUGCUUAGAGCCAGGACAGAAUGAUGAGAGGUUAGCAGGGUGAUGCCACACAGAACAAAAUAACCUGCAGAGAGAAGUUUCUUACACAAUGAGACAUGGCAGUCUGAGUCCCUACCGCUGUGGAUCACUGCAACACCACAUGUAUUUGUAGAAACUCCAUGCAUUUUACCAUGCGGCUGCAAUACAGCUGAAUACUGCAGCUCUUUGACCAGCCCCAGUAGCACCAAACUCAGGCCUCACGUCCCAGUAACCACACAGCCACUCGGUCAGUCUGGCUCAGAAACAAUUAAAAAAGAAAGAUUCUUAAUGACAUUGACCUCUGCCAGAAAGCAAAGUCUUCCUUCAUCUGUUUGUCUCUCUACUACUACUAAUAGUCAGAGAUAUACCAAAAAAGAGAAGUGGCUGACUUAUCAACAUUAUUUUCCUUGUUCUUGAUCUAGGUCAUCAAGUAGAUUAAUAUGUAGUUGCAAGCUGUUCAUUCAUUGUAGAGGAGCAUGUACAUAGCAGGAAAUAUCUCCCAUGGCGCUGAUAAACUCUCAGAGGCUAUAGGCCAAGGUGUUUAUGCUCCAAUGGAGACAUUUGUGCCAAGUACCUGCUCCCAGUGAUAUAGUUAUAAGCAUUAAACUCGAAAUGUAACUUUAAAAAUCU